UGGUAGCUCAGUUGGUAGAGCAGCGGAUUGAAAAUCCGCGUGUCGGUGGUUCAAGUCCGCCCCG
rnacentral:tRNA from 1 species